rnacentral:siRNA from 1 species
AACCAACAACCAUAUAUAGCC